AUUGUCUUAAUUUCAUUGGCUGAAUGUAGUGUGUCCUCUGGCACCCUGUCACUGAUCUUGUUGGGUAAGUCGAAAUCCCCAGCAAAUCCCUCAGAUACAGAGCUGACCAGAGGCCAGGAAAGACAAAAGUGUGUGUGUAUCGACAAUAACAACCGAAGUCAAGGGAAAGCUAGCUGUCAUCUUGAUCUAUUCCUAGUCUUGAUGAAGGCCUCCUGGUUGCAGAGAACUGUCACCUGGAUAGUGCGCUUGAUGUCCCUGCGGCGCAAGUGCCGCAGGAAGGUGACAUUAGUAAUGGUUGGACUGGACAAUGCUGGAAAAACAGCUACUGUCAGAGGAAUCCAGGGAGAAUGUCCUUUAGAUGUAGCACCUACAGUGGGCUUCUCAAAGGUGGACCUGAAGCAGGGCAAGUUUGAGGUUACAAUCUUUGACCUGGGUGGCGGGAAGCGUAUCCGCGGCAUUUGGAAAAACUACUACUCUGAGUCUUACGGAGUGGUGUUUGUUGUGGACUCCAGUGAUGUUCAAAGGAUCCAGGAGACCAGAGACACAAUGGCUGAGGUUCUCCGGCAUCCUCGAAUUGCAGGCAAACCUGUAUUAGUACUGGCUAAUAAACAGGACCAAGAUGGGGCAUUGGCUGAAGCAGAUAUCAUUGAGACCCUGUCAUUGGAGAAGCUUGUCAACGAGAAUAAAUGCCUCUGUCAGAUUGAACCCUGUUCUGCAGUGCUGGGUUAUGGUAAGAAGGUUGACAAAUCCAUCAAGAAUGGCCUUAACUGGCUUCUGAAUAACAUUGCCAAGGACUACGAGGCAAUUUCAGAACGUGUGCAAAAAGAUACAGCUGAGCAGAAGGCUCAGGAAGAACAAGACAAGAAGGAAAGAGCAGAGAGAGUCCGGCGGAUCAGAGAGGAGAGAGACAGACAGGAGCGAGAAGAGGCAGAGCAAGAAGGAAGGGCAUUGAAAGAGGAGGAGCUAGAUGAUGUCAACAUGCUCAACCCAUUCCAGCCAAUAAACAAUGUUUUUAAUGAGAAUGAAGACAGAUUGAACAAAGAGAAAGAGAUGCAAAGACAGAGAGAAAGUGGCGAGCUGGGCAGUGUGCAAGAACAGACUGUCCUUCAAGAUGAGGAGGAUGAUGAAGAGGAGGAGGAUGAAGAGAGCGAGAGACAGACCCCGGAGAGCACAGAAUCAGGAGCAGUGGACCAGACCAAAAAGAAAACUAGGAAAUUACGAUUGAAACGUAAGCACAGAGUCGACCCUCUAAGAGUGGAAGAAGCAGCACCCAAAAGCCCCACUCCUCCUCCCUUACCAGGUAGGAAUGUGUCUUUUACAACUUGUUUCUCAGACAAUGGUCUUUAGUCUUUACACUGAGGACCUUUGUCAGUGAUGUCCAUUUGCAAUAGGAAUAAGCAUUCCUUUUAAACACACACACACACACACACACAUUUGAAAAAUAGUUGAGGCCAGGUGCUGAGCUGCAGCAGAAAAAAAACUGUACAACACAAGCAUAGGAGCACUUUAUAUUAAACGCUUCAAAGAACGCCAUAAGAAUACAGUUUAAUGUGGCCUCAUUGCCAUGCCAGCUGCUUUGACAGAUUGCUUGUGCUCAUUGUGUUUUAAAGGUUUUCAUCAAGACAUACCGUACAUAUUACUGUUAUGUAACAUGAUACUGUAAUAUUACUGUUCUUAUAAUGCAAAUAUUUCCAUUUUGUAAAACAACUAAUCCUUGUACCAUGCAUGUAGCUGUAGUCAUUAAACUUGAAAUACUUCUGAUAUUUCAUAGGCUGCACAUGAAUGCCAAGAGGUGUGCAACACAUGCAUGCCAAAGGGAGUGCAAUCAAACGUUGUUGUACAUGAAGUUUAGGUUUUAAAUUACCCAUAAUAAUUGAAACCCAAUAAAAAUAAAGAGCAGCCCAUUCAUUUUCCCAUUAAGACAAAAUGCUAUAAUGAAAGUGUGCAAAAAAUCCAUUUUCCAAACAAUGUCAUUACCGAAAUACACUAUGAUAUAAUAAUGAUUGAUAUAUUAGAGCUGUCGGGACGGAUUUUGCAGGAAAUUGCAUGCAUACAUAAUUCCCCCGUGCGAGUCACGUCAAAUCUGUACACAGAAAAAUGUAGCUCCAGUUGUAAAAAGGUAGCUCUAGUUGUGGUUAGUGUACUUGUAUAUCUGUAGAAUAUACAAUUUGUAUAAGAUGUCCUGUAUUCAUAUGUACACUGGUGCUUCGAGACACAUUCAUCUGUGCAGAGGAGCAAAGCCAAAGCACAACCAAAAAAAAAAAAAAAGGCAUUCUUCAGGAGGAACAUGCUGUUUUAUUAUUUAACCCGUAAAAGUUACAUUGUGUAGCUUUAAUAUAACUACAGGAAAAAGCAUAGUAAAACACUGUUAUGUUCAGAAGAGGGAAUGUGUGUGUUCAUGUGGAAAAUUCUACAUAUAUUUGCAUUUUGCAACUUUUUUUUUGAUAGCAUAUAUUAUUAAUACUUAAUUUAACCUAAUUAAGCAGAUUAUUAAUUAUGCAUUAUAGUAAAUUGCAGGCCUGCUGUAAACACAUUGCAGUGGUGUAUAUGUUCUGCAGCACAAGACUUCAGGGAAGUCAGAGAAACUUUUUUUCUAUCAUUUGCUGUUGGAUUUUCAUACUAGUCAAAUGUUUGCAAGAUUUGUCUCAUUUUAACCACCGAUUUGUCCUAGUUUAUCCUUUUGUUGCUUCAUGUUAAUGACUCUCACAGCUAAAACUUUUCUUUGUUUUAGUUGGAUGGGCUACUCCUAAAGUUUCUAGGCUCCCCAAACUUGAGCCUCUUGGAGAUACAAGACAUUCUGCAAGCCUCAGCCACAUCCU